CUCUAUUUUAUGCUUAAAUUGGCUCCAGUUUGGCCAGUGGAAGCUCCUGGAAGCUGACUUCAUGUUCUUUUGCUAUGCCCCCAACAUAGACGGAAGAGC